rnacentral:rRNA from 1 species
AACGAACGCUGGCGGCAUGCCUAACACAUGCAAGUCGAACGAGACCUUCGGGUCUAGUGGCGCACGGGUGCGUAACGCGUGGGAACCUGCCCUUAGGUUCGGAAUAACUCCCCGAAAGGGGUGCUAAUACCGGAUAAUGUCUUCGGACCAAAGAUUUAUCGCCUUUGGAUGGGCCCGCGUUGGAUUAGCUAGUUGGUAGGGUAAAAGCCUACCAAGGCGACGAUCCAUAGCUGGUCUGAGAGGAUGAUCAGCCACACUGGGACUGAGACACGGCCCAGACUCCUACGGGAGGCAGCAGUGGGGAAUAUUGGACAAUGGGCGAAAGCCUGAUCCAGCAAUGCCGCGUGAGUGAUGAAGGCCUUAGGGUUGUAAAGCCCUUUUACCCGGGAUGAUAAUGACAGUACCGGGAGAAUAAGCCCCGGCUAACUCCGUG